rnacentral:rRNA from 1 species
UACGAAGGGGGCUAGCGUUGCUCGGAAUCACUGGGCGUAAAGGGCGCGUAGGCGGCCAUUCAAGUCGGGGGUGAAAGCCUGUGGCUCAACCACAGAAUUGCCUUCGAUACUGUUUGGCUUGAGUAUGGUAGAGGUCAGUGGAACUGCGAGUGUAGAGGUGAAAUUCGUAGAUAUUCGCAAGAACACCAGUGGCGAAGGCGGCUGACUGGACCAUACUGACGCUGAGGCGCGAAAGCGUGGGAGCAAACAGG